AGUAUUUUGCUUCAAAUAAGAAAAGAACAUGCUAACCAUUUGGUUUCCACACAAAUCAUGAUUCAUGGCAAGCAAAAGAGAAAAAUCCAUCAUUAGAUCGUCUAGAAAUCUCUUGCUAUCCUCCAUCUUCUUCUUGUAUAUAUUCUUGCUUUGUUCCUCUCAUGUAUAUUGCUCCGCUAGAGAUAUUUUGAAGCAUGGCGAGUGGAUCGACUCUAACAAAGGAUCAACUCUUGUAUCUCCUGGAGAAAUGUUUGAACUUGGAUUCUUCACCCGCCCUUUGGAAAGCUCUAGCCCCAAAAUGUUCGUAGGGAUACAGUAUCACAAUAGUUCUAAACAAGCAAUUGUAUGGGUUGCAAACCGAAACAACCCAAUUCCUGAGGGUUCCUUUGGAGUUUUCGGAAUUGCAGAAGAUGGAAACCUCAAGGUUUGGGAUAAUUCUGGAAAAAUAUACUGGUCUACAGAACUUGAGAAUUCCUCGUCCACAAAUCAGAUUGUUAAGCUCAUGGAUUCUGGCAACCUGGUCUUAAGCGAUGAUGAUGAUCAGUCGUCAAAAAGUUUGUGGGAGAGCUUCAAACAUCCAACUGAUACAUUUCUUCCAGGCAUGAAGAUGGAUGAAAAUAUUACAUUGGUUUCAUGGACAGGCCCUGGUGACCCAACAAGUGGACAGUUCGAGUUUAAGCAAGAUCAAUUAGGAGUGUACAUCUACACUAUCACAAAAAAACCGGUUGAUUACUGGAAAAAUCGGAUCCCAGGUAAGUUCUUGAACUCAGAUAAAAUGCCUUCUCCUAUAGCCAACUUAUUAUCAAACUUUAGCACGAAAGCCAAUUAUACGUAUUUCAAAAACGAAACAAAACCAGUAAUGUCUAAGAAUUAUGGUGACGCAAGGCUGGUGAUGGAUUACAGCGGGCGGUUAAGGUAUCUGACUUGGGAUGAAGAGAGGGAUAAUUGGUCUUUGGCAUGGGAGGUGCCUGAAGACGAAUGUAGCAUUUACAAUGCCUGUGGGAAAUUAGGCAGCUGCAAUAUCAACAAUUGGUGGAAGUGCAAAUGUUUGCCGGGGUCCAAGCCUACUUAUCCAGAGCGGUGGUAUUCUAGAAAUUUUACUGAUGGGUGCACCAGAAAUCCGACAUUUUGUGACAAGAGUGGGACGACAUUCUUGAGCUUAAAUAUCAUAAAAGUGAGUAAUCCAAGCACAGAUUUCUUGGUAAAAGAUGAAGAAGAAUGCAGAAAAGAGUGUGUUGCGCAAUGCCAGUGCCAGGCCUAUUCAUACCAGGCAAAUGAAAACAGAACGCUAAGAGUUCACACUAUUACUAACACUAACCAGUGCUGGAUUUGGAAUAAUGAUCUAAGUGAUAUUCAAGAAGAGUAUACAAUCGAUCGAAACAUCUCCAUCCGCGAUCGAAACAUCUCCAUUCGCGUUGCAAAAUCCGACAUAGGAUCAUCUUUAAGGAACUGUGAGCCUUGUGGCACAAACGUGAUCCCCUAUCCUCUGAGCACAAGACCAAAUUGUGGUGACCCCAUGUACUUAAGCUUUUACUGCAACUAUUCCACAGGCCAGCUUAGCUUCAAGGCACUCACUCACACCUAUCGAGUGGAUGUUAUCUUUCCAAGUGAACAGAAAUUUGUCAUCCAAGUCAAUUUUACAGAUAAUAGUCAUGCUAGAAAUUUUGGAGAUCAGUGGCUCAAUCAUUCCUUGCCAUUUAGAGUGAACAGCUCGUUCCAUGAUGGUUCGGGCAACGUUAGCUCUGAAGUUACAGGUGUAGAGAUUAGUUGGGAGCCACCACUGGAGCCAACGUGUGAUUCCCCUGCAGACUGCAAGGAUUGGCCACAUUCAACUUGCAAUGCAGCAACAGAUGGAAAGAUGAGGUGCCUUUGCACCACAAACUUCCGUUGGGAUGCCUCAAAUUUGACUUGUACUACAGGGUCAUCCAAAGAGAAUUCAACAGGAAAGAUGUUGGCUUUGAUUGUUCAGGUAUCUCUUAUAGGUGUGGUUGUUCUGUCAUGCACCAUUAUUUGUGCAUAUAUUUGGAGAAGAAAGAUGGCCAAGAGGCAAGAUAUCCAAAGCAUGGAUAAAAGAAAAAGAGCACUUCGCACGUUGGAUACCGAACGACAUGUCAAAGACUUGAUAGACUCGGGUGAGUUUAGAGAAGAAGGUGAGACGACAGACAUUGAUCUGCCCUUUUUUGAUUUGGAAAUCAUACUAGAAGCUACACAUUAUUUCUCAGAUGCAAACAAGCUCGGACAAGGUGGCUUUGGGCCUGUUUACAAGGGUAUAUUUCCAGGAGGUCAAGAAAUUGCAGUAAAGAGGCUCUCCAGUGUUUCAAGACAAGGCUUACAAAAAUUUAAAAAUGAAGUGGUGUUGAUUGCAAAACUUCAACAUAGAAAUCUCGUUAGACUUCGAGGGUAUUGCAUAAAAGGGGAUGAAAAAAAAUUACUAUACGAGUACCUGCCUAAUAAAAGCUUAGACUCAUUUAUAUUUGAUCAAAAACUAAGCAUGCUUUUGGAUUGGGAGAUGCGCUUCAACAUAAUUAUGGGAAUAGCUUGAGGGCUUCUUUAUCUCCACCAAGACUCCAAAUUAAGGAUCAUCCAUAGAGAUCUAAAAACCGGCAACAUUCUUCUAGAUCAUGAGAUGAACCCCAAAAUAUCUGACUUUGGGUUGGCAAAGAUGGUUGGAGGCAAAGAAACUGGGGCAAACACUGCCAAAGUAGUUGGAACUUAUGGCUAUAUGUCUCCAGAGUACAUAUUAGAUGGAAUUUUCUCAAUCAAAUCCGAUUUUUUUUUGUUUUGGUUUAGUCUUACUUGAGAUUAUUAGUGGCAAAAAGAACACAGGAUUUUAUCAAUCAGAACAAGCCUUGAGCCUUAUAGGUUAUGUUUGGAAAUUGUGGACAGAAAACAUGGUUUUGGAUUUAAUCGAUCAGACACUACAUGAAACUUGCAAUGUAGACCAAUUUGUGAAGUGCGUAAAUGUUGGACUCUUAUGCGUACAAGAACUCCUUGAUGAUUGUCCCACCAUGUCAAAUGUUGUUACAAUGCUUGACAGUGAAACUGCAACAGUUCCAACUCCUAAACAACCAACUUUUGUUCCAAGGAGAGGCCAAUCCAGCACAACUUCUUCUUCUAGUAGACCGGAAACGUAUAUAGAACUAACUUCUAGUUUAGAAGAAGCACAAAAAUGAAUGAUGCUAAUUUUGAUGGUGUGUCCUUUAAUCCCCUUGUAAAGUUUCUCUUGCACAAAUAAUCGAUUUCUAUACUAUGAGUCGUGUUGGGUUCUAAGACUUUAGGUUUAAAUGUAUUAGAACUUCAAUUUGUAAUGUUGGCAAACCAUGAUCAAAACGUUUUAGUCUUGUUUAGACUUGCUCAAAGUAUGUGGUUGUAUGUAAAGUUGGAAUCGAGUAGCUGCAGGAUUUAUUAUGUAAAUCUGCCUGGCUCAAUCGAUCAAGAAUUAGACUUGAUCGAUCGAAGCUCGUGCAAAUUGUUUUUCUGCAGAAUUUUCCAACUCAGCCAAGCCCGUUUAACAUGUAGGG